AUUGAACGCUGGCGGCAGGCCUAAGACAUGCAAGCCGAGCGGAUGAAGGGAGCUUGCUCCUGGAUUCAGCGGCGGACGGGUGAGUAAUGCCUAGGAAUCUGCCUGGUAGUGGGGGAUAACGUCCGGAAACGGGCGCUAAUACCGCAUACGUCCUGAGGGAGAAAGUGGGGGAUCUUCGGACCUCACGCUAUCAGAUGAGCCUAGGUCGGAUUAGCUAGUUGGUGGGGUAAAGGCCUACCAAGGCGACGAUCCGUAACUGGUCUGAGAGGAUGAUCAGUCACACUGGAACUGAGACACGGUCCAGACUCCUACGGGAGGCAGCAGUGGGGAAUAUUGGACAAUGGGCGAAAGCCUGAUCCAGCCAUGCCGCGUGUGUGAAGAAGGUCUUCGGAUUGUAAAGCACUUUAAGUUGGGAGGAAGGGCAGUAAGUUAAUACCUUGCUGUUUUGACGUUACCAACAGAAUAAGCACCGGCUAACUUCGUG
rnacentral:rRNA from 1 species